rnacentral:misc_RNA from 1 species
GGGGAAAAUAAAAAUGGCGGAUGAACAGGAGCUGGCCCAGUUGGAGCUUCUGUGUAAGCAGCUGUAUGAAGCAACUGGAGCAACUCAAAGAAGUGAAGCUGAAAAGGCACUUCUGAACUUUGCAAACUCUCCUGACUGUUUGACAAAAUGUCAACUGCUGUUAGAAAGAGGAGAAUCAUCAUAUGCACAACUUCUAGCAGCCACAACACUGACCAAAAUGGUGUCCAGGACACCAUGUUCUCUUAAUCUUCAACAAAGGCUAGAGAUCAGAAAUUACAUUUUACGUUACUUAGCAACUCGACCAAAACUUACCAACUAUGUGACACAAGCAUUAGUGCAACUCUUUGCUAAAAUAAUCAAGUUAGGUUGGUUUGAAUCAGAUAAAGAAGAGUUUGUGUUUCGAAACAUUAUUAACCAAGUUCAGGGUUUUUUGCAGGGUUCAGUAGAAUAUUGUGUCAUUGGGGUCCAGCUUCUUUCUCAGCUGACAUGUGAAAUCAAUCAAAUAAGUGAGGCAGAGGCUAAUAGAUCUUUAACUAAACAGCGUAAAAUUGCUUCAUCUUUUCGAGAUAGUCAGCUUUAUGAAAUAUUCCAAUUAGCCUGUGAUCUGUUGAGACGAGCUUUGGAAACAUGGAAGUCAACGACAUUUAAGGAUGAGUCACAACAUGCACUGAUGAAUCAGCUGUUGCAGUUGGCUUUCAAUUGUCUUUCAUUUGACUUUAUUGGAACCUCACCUGAUGAAUCAUCAGAUGAUCUUUGUACAGUGCAAAUUCCAACCAGUUGGAGACCUGCUUUCCUGGAUUUUAACACACUACAGUUGUUCUUUGACCUGUACCAUUCCCUACCAACUCUCCUGUCACACAUAGCACUGUCUUGUUUGGUACAGAUUGCUUCAGUUCGAAGAUCAUUGUUCAACAAUGCCGAGAGAGCUAAGUUUCUAUCACAGCUUGUCAGUGGUGUCAAGAACAUUUUGGAAAAUCCUCAGGGCUUGUCAGAUCCUGGAAACUACCAUGAGUUUUGUAGGCUGUUGGCCAGACUGAAGUCAAACUAUCAACUGGGUGAACUAGUCAAGGCAGAAAACUACAGAGAAACUAUAGCCCUUAUUGCUACAUUUACUGUCACAAGUCUUCAGAUGUGGCAGUAUGCUCCAAAUAGUGUCCACUACUUGCUGAGCUUAUGGCAACGAAUGGUAGCUUCUGUUCCAUAUGUCAAGGCUUCUGAGCCACACCUGUUGGAGACAUACACACCUGAAGUCACUCAUGCUUACAUUACCUCUCGGUUGGAGUGUGUAACAGCUGUUGUAAGGGAUGGAUUGGAAGAUCCACUUGGUGAUACAGGGAUGAUACAGCAACAACUAGAUCAGCUAGCAACUAUAGGAAGAUGUGAAUAUGAAAAAACUUGUACACUUCUUGUCCAAACUUUUGAUCAAGCAGCACAGGCAUACCAAGAACGUAUGCAGGCCCAAACUCCGAACAAUAGGAUAGACAUAGAAAUCCAAGAAGGCCGUCUAACUUGGCUUGUAUACAUAAUUGGUGCAGCAAUAGGUGGACGGGUCUCUUUCAACAGUGCUGAUGAACAUGAUGCUAUGGAUGGAGAGCUUGUAUGCAGAGUUCUCCAGUUAAUGAACUUGACUGAUGCUAGACUAGCUCAUGGAGGAUGUGAGAAGCUAGAACUAGCCAUGCUCAGUUUCUUUGAACAGUUCAGGAAGAUCUAUGUAGGUGACCAGGUACAGAAAACAUCUAAAGUGUAUCGAAGGCUGUCUGAUGUAUUAGGCCUUAGUGAUGAAUCCAUGGUGUUAAGUGUCUUCAUCAGAAAAAUAAUUACCAAUUUGAAGUAUUGGAGCACUCAAGAACAGAUUAUAACAAAGACCUUACAGCUGUUGAAUGACCUGUCUGUAGGCUAUAGUAGCGUGAGGAAACUGGUUAAACUUGAGGAAGUUCAGUUCAUGUUAAGUAAUCACACUAGUGAACAUUUUCCUUUUUUGGGAAACAAUGCACAAAUAGCAGACAUGAGAUGUCGUUCGAUGUUUUACACAUCUAUGGGUCGCUUGCUAAUGGUAGACCUUGGAGAAGACGAAGAAAAGUUUGAACAUUUUAUGAUUCCAUUGACUGGUGCUUUUGAUGCUAUAGGAAAUUUAUUAGCAAAUACAGAAUCACCAGUUUUCAACACAACAGAAGCAAAAAAAGCUUUAGUUGGCUUAGCAAGGGACUUGAGAGGUUUGACAUUUGCUUUCAAUACCAAGACCAGUUACAUGAUGCUGUUUGAAUGGAUUUACCCAGCUUAUACACCUGUUCUUCAUCGAGCAAUAGAACUUUGGUAUCACGACCCUGCAGUUACCACUCCUGUCCUCAAAUUGAUGGCAGAAUUGGUUCAGAACAGAUCUCAGAGGCUUCAGUUUGAUGUAUCUUCUCCAAAUGGUAUCUUGCUUUUCAGGCAAACUAGUAAAAUUAUUUCCAGUUAUGGAAAUAGAAUACUAACAUUAGGUGAUAUUCCAAGGGACAAAAUUUAUCCAUUGAAAUUAAAAGGGAUUUCCAUCUGCUUCUCCAUGUUUAAAUCUGCUCUCUGUGGAGGUUAUGUCAACUUCGGAGUGUUCAGACUGUAUGGUGACAGUGCCUUGGAUGAUGCCCUAAAUGCUUUCAUUAAACUUCUUUUGUCUAUUUCACAGGGUGAUCUUUUGGACUACCCCAAAUUGAGUCAAACUUAUUAUGUACUUCUAGAAUGUUUAGCACAGGAUCAUAUGAACUUCCUUAGCAAUUUAGAACCUCAUGUUUUUUUGUAUAUAUUGUCAUCAAUAUCUGAGGGUCUUACAGCUUUAGAUACCAUGGUAUGUACAGGGUGUUGUGCAACUUUAGAUCACAUUGUUACUUACCUGUUUAAGCGGUUAUCUAAGACCAGUAAAAAGGUGCGUCACCCUUCUGGCCAACAAGAUGGGGAAGCCUGUUUACGAGUUUUAGAACAUCAUCCUGAGAUUCUGCAACAGAUGCUCUCUACUAUCUUGAAUAUUAUCAUGUUUGAAGAUUGUCGUAACCAGUGGUCUAUGUCCAGACCUCUGUUAGGCCUAAUCCUACUCAAUGAAGAGUACUUCCAUCAGUUAAGACAGAAUAUUGUCCAAACUCAACCACCAGAUAAACAAGCUGCCAUGGCUCAGUGGUUUGACAAUCUCAUGGAAGGAAUAGAAAGAAAUCUCUUAACAAAAAAUAGAGACAGAUUCACUCAAAAUCUGUCUGUAUUUCGUCGUGACAUCAAUGACUUUCUGAAGGGGCCAAAUAUAGUCAACGCAGCAAUGAGUGAUAUGAUGAGCUAACAUUAGUUGUGGACCAAAGCUUUUAAUGCUAUUGAAUGUAGACAUGCAAUUUUUUUUUUUUUUGUGAUGAAGAAAUUCUGUCGGGAAUUAUGUACAAGGAGGUUUACAGAUUUGGUGCAGUAGCUGCCAUGCCUGCUCAAGAGGUGGAUAAGUGUUUUGCCAGAGACAUUUGAUCACGAACCUAAAUUCCCAAGGGAAGCGUGCUGUUAAAAAAUGUAUAAUUAAUUUGUCACCUGUGGAUAAGAAUAGUGCAUGGCUGUAAUAAAAUGGAUGAAAUUUGAUUGAGGUGCAGUUUAUAAAGAUAAUAUUGCAAACUGUUAAAUUUUAGAAGUUUGAACUUGAAAUUUGAUAUAAUACAAUGUUUUUAGAAAAAAAAAAAAGACCAAAAUUUUGGUUUGAUUUGUUUGAUAUUUGGAGUUUUAAAAUUGGCACAACAUUAAAGUUAAUUCAGAAGUUUUUA